rnacentral:lncRNA from 1 species
UGAGGAGUGGCAGCAGCUGAGUGAGGACACUGAGGCCUCAGCCAUGCAGCUGAGCAUGCCUCUGGGCCUGCUGAGGGACCCAGCUUUCCAGCACCGUGUCCGGGACCGCCUGGCAGACUCUGCUCAGCAGGUGCUAGAAGGGAUGCUGGAGGGAGCCUCCCAUCUUCGUUCUGUGCUUCGUGUUAUUGGCAACCUCCUGUCUACCCAGUGUGAUGCUGAGCUCCUGGACCACUUCUGCCAAGAGCUGAAUGUGCCUCUGUCCCUGCUGUGUCUAGCCAAGCAGAUCCUGGAAAGUGCUGUCACCAAGCAGGUGGGUGUAGAACCCCAGGGAAAUAUGGGUGCUUUCCAGCCCUGCAGAGUGCUGCUGCUGAGGAGGCCCUGGUGUCCUGCUGGAUCUGGCACACAGGUUCCUCUUCCAGGCACCCUUGGGAAGGGGGAGGUUCUGGUAGGGAAGGAUCCUGUUGUAGUGGUGUGGGGAUGGCCAGCAGACAAUCCCCAUUUGUGGUUUCUUUCUGGAUUCUGCAGCAGCCCUGGUGUAUCGCUGUGCUGACAGACCUCCUCAUGGUGACCAAAGUUUAUUUCAGCAGUGAAUGUAGCCUGGAGGAGAGUGGGCAAAAGGACAGGUAGGGACAACCUUCUGUUCCCUGAGGUCUCGUGUGGUCACUUUGGGGACCACAGGCAGUAGGUGGAAGGGUGAUGUUCAUACUCUGCAGCUGGAGCUGUCUCUGUGGGGCAGCAUCAUGGUCUAAGUGCUUCAUGCCAUAUUGCUGUGCUCAGAGGAGCACUUUCCUUGAACGGGAUUAACUGAAGGCAAGGCACAGCUGACAAGUCUGG